rnacentral:rRNA from 1 species
AGUGAACGCUGGCGGUAGGCCUGACACAUGCAAGUCGAACGGCAGCACAGUAAGAGCUUGCUCUUACGGGUGGCGAGUGGCGGACGGGUGAGGAACACAUCGGAAUCUACUUUUUCGUGGGGGAUAACGUAGGGAAACUUACGCUAAUACCGCAUACGACCUACGGGUGAAAGCAGGGGAUCUUCGGACCUUGCGCGAUUGAAUGAGCCGAUGUCGGAUUAGCUAGUUGGCGGGGUAAAGGCCCACCAAGGCGACGAUCCGUAGCUGGUCUGAGAGGAUGAUCAGCCACACUGGAACUGAGACACGGUCCAGACUCCUACGGGAGGCAGCAGUGGGGAAUAUUGGACAAUGGGCGCAAGCCUGAUCCAGCCAUACCGCGUGGGUGAAGAAGGCCUUCGGGUUGUAAAGCCCUUUUGUUGGGAAAGAAAAGCAGCAGGUUAAUACCCCGCUGUUCUGACGGUACCCAAAGAAUAAGCACCGGCUAACUUCGUG